rnacentral:rRNA from 1 species
AUACGGGAGGCAGCAGUAGGGAAUAUUGGUCAAUGGAUGCAAGUCUGAACCAGCCAUGCCGCGUGCAGGAAGAAGGCCUUCUGGGUUGUAAACUGCUUUUGCCAGGGGAUAAAAUGACCUUGCGAGGUUAAUUGAAGGUACCUGGUGAAUAAGCCACGGCUAACUACGUGCCAGCAGCCGCGGUAAUACGUAGGUGGCAAGCGUUGUCCGGAUUUAUUGGGUUUAAAGGGUGCGUAGGCGGCCUUGUAAGUCAGUGGUGAAAUAUCUCAGCUUAACUGAGAGGGUGCCAUUGAUACUGCAGGGCUUGAGUACAGAUGAGGUAGGCGGAAUUGACGGUGUAGCGGUGAAAUGCAUAGAUAUCGUCAAGAACUCCGAUAGCGAAGGCAGCUUACUAAGCUGUAACUGACGCUGAGGCACGAAAGUGUGGGGAUCAAACAGGAUUAGAUACCCCGGUAGUCC